GGCGGCGCCCGCUUUCCCGCCACAGCAGACGCGCGGUCACAGCCCGGGAGGAGCUGGCUUCCCAUGCGGUGGUGGGGAGGUUGGAAGCGCCCGGGAGAGGAGUUGACGGUAUACAGCUUAGAAAGGGGAUGUCAGUUGGACUGAUAAAUGGAUUUUGAAACUUACAGCAGAAGCAAAAGUCUUGAAAACCAAGUUCUUGAAACAAGGGAAUGGCUCUUCUCCACCUGCUUGAGGGUGGGCAUGGCCAUGUAACUGGCUGUGGCCAAUGAAAUAAGAGAGAUGAUGCUUGUCACCCCAACCAAUGGCACUCUAGAUGAUGGAAGUCCCAAGAG